CGAAAUAUAACGCAGUUGGUAGCGUACUAAUUUUGGGAAUUAGAAGUCACAGGUUCGAAUCCUGUUAUUUCGA
rnacentral:tRNA from 1 species